rnacentral:rRNA from 1 species
UGGGGAAUUUUGGACAAUGGGCGCAAGCCUGAUCCAGCAAUGCCGCGUGCAGGAUGAAGGCCUUCGGGUUGUAAACUGCUUUUGUACGGAACGAAAAGGCUCUGGUUAAUACCUGGGGCUCAUGACGGUACCGUAAGAAUAAGCACCGGCUAACUACGUGCCAGCAGCCGCGGUAAUACGUAGGGUGCAAGCGUUAAUCGGAAUUACUGGGCGUAAAGCGUGCGCAGGCGGUUAUGUAAGACAGAUGUGAAAUCCCCGGGCUCAACCUGGGAACUGCCUUUGUGACUGCAUAGCUAGAGUACGGUAGAGGGGGAUGGAAUUCCGCGUGUAGCAGUGAAAUGCGUAGAUAUGCGGAGGAACACCGAUGGCGAAGGCGACUGACUGGACAAGUAUUGACGCUGAGGUGCGAAAGCGUGGGGAGCAAACA